rnacentral:rRNA from 1 species
UGCGUAGACGGUUAGAUAAGUCGGGUGUGAAAGCCCCGGGCUCAACCUGGGAAUUGCAUUCGAGACUGUGUAGCUAGGGUACGGAAGAGGGAAGCGGAAUUUCAGGUGUAGCGGUGAAAUGCGUAGAUAUCUGAAGGAACACCAGCGGCGAAAGCGGCUUCCUGGUCCAGUACCGACGUUCAGGCACGAAAGCGUGGGGAAGCAAACAG